rnacentral:rRNA from 1 species
GAUGAACGCUGGCGGCGUGCCUAAUACAUGCAAGUCGAGCGAACAGAUGAGGAGCUUGCUCCUCUGACGUUAGCGGCGGACGGGUGAGUAACACGUGGAUAACCUACCUAUAAGACUGGGAUAACUACGGGAAACCGGAGCUAAUACCGGAUAAUAUAUUGAACCGCAUGGUUCAAUAGUGAAGGACGGUUUUGCUGUCACUUAUAGAUGGAUCCGCGCCGGAUUAGCUAGUUGGUAAGGUAACGGCUCACCAAGGCAACGAUGCGUAGCCGACCUGAGAGGAGGGGCAGCCACCCUGGAACUGAGCCACGGCCCAGACCAAUCCGCGAGGCAGCGGUGCGGAAUAUAAGACAAGGGACUGAAGCAGGACACAGACAUACCGCGUGGAGGAAAGAGACACUCGGCUUUGAAAGCUCUAUUGUUGGGAAAGAAGAAUAGCGGGUGAAAAGCCUGCCGUUUUGACGGUACCUAAAGAAUAAGCACCGGCUAACUCCGUG